rnacentral:rRNA from 1 species
GCAUAGAGAGCUUGCUCUCUGAUGGCGAGUGGCGAACGGGUGAGUAAUAUAUCGGAACGUGCCUAGUAAUGGGGAAUAACUAGCUGAAAGGUUAGCUAAUGCCGCAUACGACCUACGGGUGAAAGCAGGGGAUCUUCGGACCUUGCGUUAUUAGAGCGGCCGAUAUCUGAUUAGCUUGUUGGUGGGGUAAUGGCCUACCAAGGCGACGAUCAGUAGCUGGUCUGAGAGGACGAUCAGCCACACUGGAACUGAGACACGGUCCAGACUCCUACGGGAGGCAGCAGUGGGGAAUUUUGGACAAUGGGGGCAACCCUGAUCCAGCCAUUCCGCGUGAGUGAAGAAGGCCUUCGGGUUGUAAAGCUCUUUCGCAAGAGAAGAAAACUUACUAUCUAAUAAAUAGUAAGUAUGACGGUAUCUUGACAAGAAGCAC